rnacentral:rRNA from 1 species
UUGAACGCUGGCGGCAUGCCUUACACCUGCAAGUCGAACGGCAGCAUGAUCUAGCUUGCUAGAUUGAUGGCGAGUGGCGAACGGGUGAGUAAUACAUCGGAACGUGCCCUGUAGUGGGGGAUAACUAGUCGAAAGAUUAGCUAAUACCGCAUACGACCUGAGGGUGAAAGUGGGGGACCGCAAGGCCUCAUGCUAUAGGAGCGGCCGAUGUCUGAUUAGCUAGUUGGUGAGGUAAAGGCUCACCAAGGCGACGAUCAGUAGCUGGUCUGAGAGGACGAUCAGCCACACUGGGACUGAGACACGGCCCAGACUCCUACGGGAGGCAGCAGUGGGGAAUUUUGGACAAUGGGCGAAAGCCUGAUCCAGCAAUGCCGCGUGUGUGAAGAAGGCCUUCGGGUUGUAAAGCGCUUUUGUCCGGAAAGAAAUGGCUCUGGUUAAUACCUGGGGUCGAUGACGGUACCGGAAGAAUAAGGACCGGCUAACUACGUG